rnacentral:rRNA from 1 species
UACAGAGGUCCCAAGCGUUGUUCGGAUUCACUGGGCGUAAAGGGUGCGUAGGUGGCCAGGUAAGUUUGGUGUGAAAGCUCGGAGCUUAACUCCGAAAUGUCAUUGAAUACUAUCUGGCUGGAGGGUCGGAGGGGAGACUGGAAUUCUCGGUGUAGCAGUGAAAUGCGUAGAUAUCGAGAGGAACACCAGUGGCGAAGGCGAGUCUCUGGACCACUCCUGACACUGAGGCACGAAAGCCUGGGGAGCAAACAGG